GACAGAGGGUGCAAACGUUGUUCGGAAUUACUGGGCGUAAAGGGCUCGUAGGCGGCCAACUAAGUCAGACGUGAAAUCCCUCGGCUUAACCGGGGAACUGCGUCUGAUACUGGAUGGCUUGGAUUUGGGAGAGGGAUGCGGAAUUCCAGGUGUAGCGGUGAAAUGCGUAGAUAUCUGGAGGAACACCGGUGGCGAAGGCGGCAUCCUGGACCAAUAUUGACGCUGAGGAGCGAAAGCUAGGGGAGCAAACGGG
rnacentral:rRNA from 1 species